UGGGGGAUAUUGCACAAUGGGGGAAACCCUGAUGCAGCGAUGCCGCGUGGAGGAAGAAGGUUUUCGGAUUGUAAACUCCUGUCGUAAGGGAAGAGGAAGGACUGUACCUUACAAGAAAGCUCCGGCUAACUACGUGCCAGCAGCCGCGGUAAUACGUAGGGAGCGAGCGUUGUCCGGAAUGACUGGGUGUAAAGGGAGCGUAGGCGGGAUGGCAAGUCAGAUGUGAAAACUGAGGGCUCAACCUUCAGACUGCAUUUGAAACUGCUGUUCUUGAGUGAGGUAGAGGUAAGCGGAAUUCCUGGUGUAGCGGUGAAAUGCGUAGAGAUCAGGAGGAACAUCGGUGGCGAAGGCGGCUUACUGGGUCUUUACUGACGCUGAGGCUCGAAAGCGUGGGGAGCAAACAGGAUUAGAUACC
rnacentral:rRNA from 1 species